UUUAUCGGAGAGUUUGAUCCUGGCUCAGGACGAACGCUGGCGGCGUGCCUAAUACAUGCAAGUCGAGCGGACUGAUGGGAGCUUGCUCCCAUCAGUCAGCGGCGGACGGGUGAGUAACACGUGGGUAACCUGCCUGUAAGACUGGGAUAACUCCGGGAAACCGGGGCUAAUACCGGAUAACUCAUUUCCUCGCAUG
rnacentral:rRNA from 1 species